CCCCCCGAAUACCCCGCGACUCAACCCAUGUCAAUCCUACCUGCUCUGACAGUAAUUUUUUCCCAUCGAUUAAGCAGCUAGAAUCGACCCAAACUGCCUAAAUCUAGAAGAGGGGCAGUCCAAGAAAUUGUCAGCGCUGUUAUUUUCGAAACAAUCGAGCUACUCCGUUGGUUCCAUAAUACGCAGAUAAGUUCUUGGUAAGCAGAGCACAACGAUUGAACCCGUGAGGCCAUAUCGCACCUACAAAGAAGGCAGAUAAAAGGACUUCCGGCCGACUGACUGCUUAUCCCCAAGGCUAUCAUCCGUAUAGCCAAGUCGUGGAGUUAUUGAGGUCAUCUACUGAAACAACCAUUCAAAAUGAAUCAAAUACCAUUGCAGCCACUGAAGGAGAGGGUUCGCUGCAGGUUAUAUUGUGCUAUUCGUUUAUUUCUACUUAUUGAUAUCACUACUUUAUGCUAAAUGUCUAUUCAGCCUCAACUUGAUCAUAUGAGCAACGGUAAAAAAAAAUUAAAGUAUCAGAAAAGUAAUACUGCAAAAAAAUCAAAUAAUUUCAGUUUAUUUGCACACUAACAUGCAGUUGUUUCCGUUGCAACCCAAAUUGACUCUUGUAACCUCACGGGCACGACGGAAAAUCACGAGACCUGAGUUUGUUGUGGCCGCAUAUAGAUCAUCAAUAAAGCAGCUUUAUAAUUUGAUAACAUCUUUUGAUAAUGAGAAGAAGAGGCUGGUCAUGUCAACCGGUUUCAGUUCGUUCUUGUUGCGUUAAUUUUGUUUUAGCGUUAGCUUCGGUUCAAUAGUGUUGUUCCGUCGUAGUUCCUGUUUUAAAAUUAAAUAUAAAUUUGAUUUGAUUAAUAUCCUUCCAUCUAGAUUUUCUAAUUAAAAUUAGAUCUAUACUCUGGUUUUCACCACUAAUGUUAACUUGAUUAAUAUCAAAUCAAAUGUAUUUGUAAUUUAAUUUGUUAGUUCAAUAAGAAUCAUAUAAAGUUGUGCGUUUAGAUGCUUUCAGAUGUUUCCUUCAAAUUAAUUGUUUAAUUAGUUUAAUGAAAUUUGUACAUAGAUAAUCAUAAAUAAAAUUUGACUAAGUUUUACUUCAAUUUUAUAGAUGAAAAUAUAAUAUGAGUUAUAUACAACAAAAAUAUUUCUUUUAAAUGUCCAUUACAUGUGGUUUCUAAUAAAUAAAGAUUAGAGUUCUUUUGUUUCUUUGAUAAUUCAAAUCUUCCGAUAGUUGUAUCUUUUCAACCGUAGCUCCGUUUUCUGCGUUUCUUGCGCUGUCGUAACCGUAGCGACGAGCCCUAUCCUUCUAUAUGCUCUUUUAGUCAUUUCUUUUGUUUUGGUGUAUUGUUCUUAGCUGUACUUGUUGUUUGCUUUGUAUGGUUGCCCGAUGUUUACUUCGAGUAGAAGGAUCAUUGUUCGAAGGUUGAAGAAUAAAGACGCUUUGUGUGAGCAAGAGCUGAAGAGCAGUAAGAGUAGCUUUUUGUUGGAGCAAGGCAAGUGACCCUAACCAUACUUCUAUCUAUGCUUAUUUACAAGAUUAUAUGAUUAAUUGAAACAUGGAGAACCGCCCAAGAAAAUAGUACAACCACAAUACUAAAUGGGCUCUGAAGUAAUUAGAUGAACUAUAUGUGGUGUUGGGAUGGCUUUGCUUGGUGGUGUUUGGGUUUGUGUGGUGGAGCGGUGAAGGAAGCUGAGUCUUCUGAGGUACUGAAAAAGUAGGAACCAACACCUACAUAUAGUGAUUCUUUGCAAAAGCCUCGUAGCGUCCCUAUGCAGUCACACCUAAGGAAGUGUAAUAACGUGCUUGGCCGGCACAUGCAUGGUUGGGUCCAAAGUUCUUCGGAACUUUUACGCGAAUUGUGCUGAAAGUGUACAACCUAUGUAGAGUGUAAAACUGAUAUAUCAACCGUGCUCACGCUCAUGAGCGUC